ACCUUGAUUAUGAGUUUAAAAUGGAGCAAGAGACAGCCUCAUUCCUUCGCCCCCAUUUCGCAGCUCAGAUCCGCUCAGUUUCGCUGUGAUAUGUUGUUAGUUAUCUGUUGCUAUCUGCUGCGCUCAUCUGCUGCUGGACCUUAGCUCCGCUCAUCUUCGCUCAUAUCUGCUCCUAGUUGCCCAGGAGAUUAUUGCUUAGUACAUUUGGAUCGGUGUGUUGAGUGAGAGUGACCUGGCAGAUCUGAAGCUGGCGAAAAUGAGCAGUGGGGGCUAUUCAUCUCUCGAUGACGUGACAAGCGUUUCAGCUCCCAAGAUGGAGACGUUUUUUGUGGGAGAGGCUCUGAAGCAUCUGUACCUGCUGUUCGUCGAUUCGAACGUCCUACCGUUGACUGAAUAGGUAUUCAACACCGAGGCUCAUCCACUGCCGAUCGCGCAACAACAGCGGGUGUCGAUGCUGGAUGCCAUACAAACUACAGAUGAGUAAUUGUGAGGGAGGUUUGUUGGGAGUGGGAUUGCAUUUGCGUGGUUGGUCAUGGUUUCUCGUGUGUUUUAGAGUUUAUACAGCACCAGUACUGUGAUAAUCGUCUAGUCAGAAGUUGAUUUUGUAGGGUCGUAAUGCUGGUAAUGGGUAGUUCUUCCAGGUUUAAGAGUGACCUCAUAGGAGAUUGUCAUAUAUACGCCGUUAUUCCAUUCCACCCUUUGUAGUAGUUACAUUUCCCUGCAUUGACAAUUGAGAAGAGUGUAGAGCCAUCUCGAUUUCCAGACACAAUUCCAGUUGUGACUGAGACUCGUUGCCUCUUUGGCUGACAGAUUUCAAUUGAACAUCGCCGGGAUGAUUGGCAAGCACAUGUUUCACUCGUAUAUGAAUCUGAAAUAAACUAAUGCAACUGCAUUUCUUGAUCAGUUCCUUGCUCCAUGUGGUCUUCCCUUUGUGGGCGACUCACACGUGGAUUUUCAAAUCGCAUAGUAACUGUAGCAAGCUCCAAUAGUUGUUCGCGCAUUUUUUUCUUGUUGAUGUAGAGGUAAAAUAACAAAUGUUAGACGAACAACAUAGAGUGGGCGGAGACUUUUGGAAGAUACUUCGACUUGUGUUGGUAUUGUAGUUGACUGUUCAAAAUCAUUCGCCAAAUGAUAUUGAAGAUGAAAGUGAGCAAUUGUCAAUAGAAAACGAAUCCGAACUUAUAUUGUUCAAAAACAAGGUGAAAGGAGAUGAGAUAUGAGAUAUGUUACACAACAUUGGUGAACAGACUAAAAUUAUGUUGACGAGAAACAUUGGUUUGUUCCGAAA